rnacentral:misc_RNA from 1 species
GUGAAUCAUCAAAUUUUUGAACGCAAAUUGCACUCCCUGGCAUUCCGGAGAGUAUGUCUGUUUGAGGGUCAGUUUAAAUAAAAAUCGAGGUGUUGCUGUUUUGUGACCCUUUGGAAUUGGGUUAUCGUUGACCUUUUAAGCAGUAUAUGUUCCCUAAAGUUGAUAUCUUGUGCAUCUCAGACGUACAUUAGAAUAUUUUUUUAUCCGUCCGGAGUUGCCACCUUUUUAUUAGGUAUGAUCAUGCUGGUUGUGGCAUCGUACCUAUAAUAUUCUCAUCU